rnacentral:rRNA from 1 species
CAAUAGCGUAUAUUUAAGUUGUUGCAGUUAAAAAGCUCGUAGUUGGAUUUCGGGUGGGACGCAGCGGUCUCGCAUUGCGUUUGUACUGCUGCAGCCCUCCUUCUUGCCGGGGGCGGCCUCUCGGACUUCACUGUCUGGGGGGUCAGAAUCGGCGAUGUUACUUUGAGUAAAUUAGAGUGUUCAAAGCAAGCUUACGCUCUGAAUAUAAUAGCAUGGGAUAACACGACAGGACUCUGGCCUAUCGUGUUGGUCUAUAGGACCAGAGUAAUGAUUAAGAGGGACAGUCGGGGGCAUUCGUAUUCCGUUGUCAGAGGUGAAAUUCUUGGAUUUACGGAAGACGAACAUCUGCGAAAGCAUUUGCCAAGGAUGUUUUCAUUGA